rnacentral:rRNA from 1 species
CAGCAGCCGCGGUAAUACGUAGGUGGCAGGCGUUGUCCGGAAUUAUUGGGCGUAAAGGGCUCGCAGGCGGUUUCUUAAGUCUGAUGUGAAAGCCCCCGGCUCAACCGGGGAGGGUCAUUGGAAACUGGGAAACUUGAGUGCAGAAGAGGAGAGUGGAAUUCCACGUGCAGCGGUGAAAUGCGUAGAGAUGUGGAGGAACACCAGUGGCGAAGGCGACUCUCUGGUCUGUAACUGACGCUGAGGAGCGAAAGCGUGGGGAGCGAACAGGAUUAGAUCCCCCGUAGUCCCUGUCUCUUAUACA